rnacentral:rRNA from 1 species
AUUGAACGCUGGCGGCAGGCCUAACACAUGCAAGUCGAACGAGUGGCAGACGGGUGAGUAAUGUCUGGGAAACUGCCUGAUGGAGGGGGAUAACUUAUGGAAACGGUAGCUAAUACCGCAUACCAUCGGAUGUGCCAAGAUGGGAUUAGCUAGUAGGUGGGGUAACGGCUCACCUAGGCGACGAUCCAUAGCUGGUGUGAGAGGAGGACCAGCCACACGGGAACUGAGGCACGGUCCAGACUCCUACGGGAGGCAGCAGGGGGGAAUAGUGCACAAUGGGCGCAAGCCUGAUGCAGCCAUGCCGCGUGGAUGAAGAAGGCCUUCGGGUUGUAGAGUUCUUUCAGCGGGGAGGCGUUACCCGCAGAAGAAGCACCGGCUAACUCCGUGCCAGCAGCCGCGGUAAUAC